rnacentral:misc_RNA from 1 species
UAAUAAGUGUUUUAUGGCACUUUUUAAAUCCAUAUCCACCUUGUGUGCAAUGUCGGUCGAUCUUCUUUUCAUGAGGAUCGACCAAACAUCAACCUUUAUCUUUUAACUCUUUGUCUGAAAAAUAUUAUGAAUAAACAAUUCAAAUA